rnacentral:rRNA from 1 species
AUUGAACGCUGGCGGCAUGCCUUACACAUGCAAGUCGAACGGCAGCACGGGUGCUUGCACCUGGUGGCGAGUGGCGAACGGGUGAGUAAUACAUCGGAACGUACCUUAUCGUGGGGGAUAACGCAGCGAAAGCUGUGCUAAUACCGCAUACGCCCUGAGGGGGAAAGCGGGGGAUCGCAAGACCUCGCGCGAUUAGAGCGGCCGAUGCCUGAUUAGCUAGUCGGUGGGGUAAAAGCCCACCAAGGCGACGAACAGUAGCUGGUCUGAGAGGACGAUCAGCCACACUGGGACUGAGACACGGCCCAGACUCCUACGGGAGGCAGCAGUGGGGAAUUUUGGACAAUGGGGGCAACCCUGAUCCAGCAAUGCCGCGUGAGUGAAGAAGGCCUUCGGGUUGUAAAGCUCUUUUGUCAGGGAAGAAACACCGGCUCUAACACAGUCCGGGAAUGACGGUACCUGAAGAAUAAGCACCGGCUAACUACGUGCCAGCAGCCGCCGUAA